rnacentral:rRNA from 1 species
UACGUAGGGUGCGAGCGUUGUCCGGAAUUAUUGGGCGUAAAGAGCUUGUAGGCGGUUUGUCGCGUCUGCUGUGAAAAUCCGGGGCUCAACCCCGGACUUGCAGUGGGUACGGGCAGACUAGAGUGUGGUAGGGGAGACUGGAAUUCCUGGUGUAGCGGUGAAAUGCGCAGAUAUCAGGAGGAACACCGAUGGCGAAGGCAGGUCUCUGGGCCACUACUGACGCUGAGAAGCGAAAGCUGGGGAGCAACAGG